UACGAAGGGGGCUAGCGUUGCUCGGAAUCACUGGGCGUAAAGCGCACGUAGGCGGCUUUCUAAGUCAGGGGUGAAAUCCUGGAGCUCAACUCCAGAACUGCCUUUGAUACUGGAGAGCUUGAGUCCGGGAGAGGUGAGUGGAACUGCGAGUGUAGAGGUGAAAUUCGUAGAUAUUCGCAAGAACACCAGUGGCGAAGGCGGCUCACUGGUCCGGUACUGACGCUGAGGUGCGAAAGCGUGGGGAGCAAACAGG
rnacentral:rRNA from 1 species